UGCGAUUUCACUCUUAAUUCAGUCAAUCGUGCUGCAUUGGCAUUGAUAGAUAUCAUACCGAGGUCUCCAAAGUCAAAGUCUGCUGGUUUCAAAGCAUAGAUGGUUUCCCUUAUCAAAUAGGCUAUAGCCACUCAGCUUGAUCAGAUGAUAGACGAUUGCAGCUACAUUAUGAAGACCAAAACUAUGACACAGAACACAGUGGAGAAACACAAGGAGACUCUGCAUGAGCUAAAGAGGAAGUACCAUGAAAAGGAGGAGCGCUAUAAAAAUCUGCCUUUGCUGGAUGAAAUGCAGCAUAAAUUGGAUGAACUGAACAAUCAGAUGGUCGGGCUCUGGUCUGGAAUUACAAACAACACACUGUGACUUUUCUUACGUUAAAAUAUAUUUGGUCUCAAACCAAAGUGAUUACAACACUUUAAAUUGCCAAAUUUUAUCAGUUAAAUAAUCAAAUUUAAUUGUAUCAGAAGUUGUAAACAUAAA